rnacentral:rRNA from 1 species
UACGGAAGGCAGCAGUGGGGAAUAUUGCACAAUGGGCGCAAGCCUGAUGCAGCCAUGCCGCGUGUAUGAAAAAGGCCUUCGGGUUGUAAAGUACUUUCAGUCGUGAGGAAGGUGUUAAGGUUAAUAACCUUAGCAAUUGACGUUAGCGACAGAAGAAGCACCGGCUAACUCCGUGCCAGCAGCCGCGGUAAUACGGAGGGUGCGAGCGUUAAUCGGAAUUACUGGGCUAAAGGGCACGCAGGCGGUUAAUUAAGUUGGAUGUGAAAUCCCCGGGCUUAACCUGGGAAUGGCAUUCAAGACUGGUUAGCUAGAGUCUUGUAGAGGGGGUUAGAAUUCCAUGUGUAGCGGUGAAAUGCGUAGAGAUGUGGAGGAAUACCGGUGGCGAAGGCGGCCCCUGGACAAAGACUGACGCUCAUGUGCGAAAGCGUGGGGAGCAAACAGGGAUUAGAUACCCGU